rnacentral:tRNA from 1 species
UUGGGUGUAGCUUAGUGAUAGAUUGCUUGCUUAGUAUGCAUGAGGCCCUGGGUUCAACUACCCAGCGCACACA